GUUAUUGACAACGUGUCAGCGGCGGUGAGAACAGGCAGAUCGUAAAGAUGCCGUAACAUCAUCCCUGAUAGCUCGAGCCGUACCCUCCCUGGCGCGGACGCUUU
rnacentral:ncRNA from 1 species